ACUCCUACGGGAGGCAGCAGUGGGGAAUAUUGCACAAUGGGGGAAACCCUGAUGCAGCCAUGCCGCGUGUGUGAAGAAGGCCUUCGGGUUGUAAAGCACUUUCAGUAGGGAGGAAGGUAGUGUAGUUAACACCUGCAUUAUUUGACGUUACCUACAGAAGAAGCACCGGCUAACUCCGUGCCAGCAGCCGCGGUAAUACGGAGGGUGCGAGCGUUAAUCGGAAUUACUGGGCGUAAAGCGCAUGCAGGCGGCCUGUUAAGUCAGAUGUGAAAGCCCGGGGCUUAACCUCGGAAUUGCAUUUGAAACUGGCAGGCUAGAGUCUUGUAGAGGGGGGUAGAAUUUCAGGUGUAGCGGUGAAAUGCGUAGAGAUCUGAAGGAAUACCAGUGGCGAAGGCGGCCCCCUGGACAAAGACUGACGCUCAGGAUGCGAAAGCGUGGGGAGCAAACAGGAUUAGAUACCCUGGUAGGAUAGCG
rnacentral:rRNA from 1 species